GACAGAGGUCCCGAGCGUUAGGCGGAAUCACUGGGCUUAAAGCGCGUGUAGGCGGUCCGGUAAGUCCGCUGUGAAAGUCGGGGGCUCAACCCUCGAAAGCCGGUGGAUACUGUCAGGCUAGAGUACAGAAGGGGCAACUGGAAUUCUCGGUGUAGCGGUGAAAUGCGUAGAUAUCGAGAGGAACACCUGCGGCGAAGGCGGGUUGCUGGGCUGAUACUGACGCUGAGGCGCGAAAGCCAGGGGAGCGAACGGG
rnacentral:rRNA from 1 species